AGCGGCCAUCGCGGAAACGUUUUUGACCGGUAGAGCGAACGACUAGAGGUACCGGGGCCGUAACGGCCUCGACCUAUUCUCGAACUCCGAACGGGCAAGGAGCCGGGGUCGCCCGAUCGGACCCCGGACGUGAAGUCGACGAUGGUCGGUGGGCUGGUUUUGGUAAGCAGAACGGGCGAUUCGGGAUGAACCGGAAGCGGGGAGAAAGGGCCCGAGAUUGCGUCGACGCGGAUCCCGAAAAGGGCGUCGAUCCGUCGCGACAGCGGGACGGUGGUCAUGGAAGUCGAAAUCCGCUAAGAAGCGUGUAAAAACGUACCCGCCCAACGGAUCGGCCCCGAAAAUUGAUGGCGCUCGAACGCAACCCUCGAACCCCCGCCGACGGAGGCUAGGGGAGGCCCCGUCGAGUAGGCGGACGCGCGGGUCGCUUCGACGCUCCCGCGCGAGCGGGGGCGGAGCGGCCCGUGGUGCAGAUCUUGGUGGUAGUAGCGAUCACCCAGGCGAGAACCCUGAGGGCCGAAGUGGAGAAGGGUUUCUCGGAGAACGGCACUCGCUCGAGAGUUAGUCGAUCCUAAGCUGCC
rnacentral:rRNA from 1 species